GGGGAAUUUUCCGCAAUGGGCGAAAGCCUGACGGAGCAAUACCGCGUGAGGGAGGAAGGCUCUUGGGUCGUAAACCUCUUUUCUCAGGGAAGAACACAAUGACGGUACCUGAGGAAUAAGCAUCGGCUAACUCCGUGCCAGCAGCCGCGGUAAUACGGAGGAUGCAAGCGUUAUCCGGAAUGAUUGGGCGUAAAGCGUCCGCAGGUGGCAAUGUAAGUCUGCUGUUAAAGAGUGANNCUCAACCUCAUAAGAGCAGUGGAAACUACAUAGCUAGAGUACGUUCGGGGCAGAGGGAAUUCCUGGUGUAGCGGUGAAAUGCGUAGAGAUCAGGAAGAACACCGGUGGCGAAGGCGCUCUGCUAGGCCGUAACUGACACUGAGGGACGAAAGCUAGGGGAGCGAAUGGGAUU
rnacentral:rRNA from 1 species